rnacentral:rRNA from 1 species
AGGACGAACGCUGGCGGCGUGCUUAACACAUGCAAGUCGAGCGGAAAGGCCCUUCGGGGUACUCGAGCGGCGAACGGGUGAGUAACACGUGAGUAAUCUGCCCCUAGCUCUGGGAUAGCUCCGGGAAACCGGGAUUAAUACCGGAUACGACCACCUUAGACAUCUUUUGUGGUGGAAAGAAUUUCGGCUAGGGAUGAGCUCGCGGCCUAUCAGCUUGUUGGUGGGUAACGGCCUACCAAGGCGACGACGGGUAGCCGGCCUGAGAGGGCGACCGGCCACACUGGGACUGAGACACGGCCCAGACUCCUACGGGAGGCAGCAGUGGGGAAUAUUGCGCAAUGGGCGAAGGCCUGACGCAGCGACGCCGCGUGGGGGAUGAAGGCCUUCGGGUUGUAAACCCCUUUCAGCAGGGACGAAGCGAAAGUGACGGUACCUGCAGAAGAAGCGCCGGCUAACUACGUGCCAGCAGCCGC